CUACGGGGCGCUGCAGUUAGGAAUAUUCCACAAUGGGCGAAAGCCUGAUGGAGCAACGCCGCGUGGAGGAUGAAGGCCUUCGGGUUGUAAACUUCUUUUCUAUGCGAAGAAUAUGACGGUAACAUAGGAAUAAGGGUCUGCUAACUACGUGCCAGCAGUCGCGGUCAUACGUAGGACCCAAGCGUUAUCCGGAUUGAAUGGGCGUAAAGAGUUGCGUAGGUGGUUUGUUAAGCGAAUAGUGAAAUCUUGUGGCUCAACCAUAAGGCUACUAUUCGAACUGGCAAACUCGAGAAUGGGAGAGGUAUCUGGAAUUCCUAGUGUAGGGGUAAUAUCCGUAGAUAUUAGGAGGAACACCGAUGGCGUAGGCAGGAUACUGGCACAUUUCUGACACUAAGGCACGAAAGCGUGGGGAGCGAACCGGAUUAGAUACCCCGGUAGUC
rnacentral:rRNA from 1 species